AAUAAGUCACGCAUGAAGCAACGGUGAGACGGUCGGCAAUCUCUCACGGCCUCAGCUGCAGUCCCACCAUACGGGGAAGUCAGAUCAGCAGGAAAGGCCCCCACAAAUAAUAAGCGCAGUCUGUGGUCUGUAGUUGCGCCUGACAUAAUUCCCUCUGCAGAUGCUGUUGCUCGCUAGCUCGCCAGAAAUCGAGUUAUGGGCGCUAAUUUGUCGUACACUACAAAUGGAGCUGAGUGGUCGUGUUGCAAUCGUAACCGGUGCUAACUCCGGUACGGGCUAUGAGACUACGAAAGCCCUGGCCAGGAUGGGGGCCAAGGUCAUCAUGGCCUGCAGAUCACAGAGCAGAGCUGAACAGUUAAUCCAUUCGACCGGAAAGAGUUUGUAAGCGUCAUUCUGCCCAAGCCGUACAAGAUUCCCUGCGCCAAGUUUCGCAGCUGUGUCCAGGGCCAAGGGCUUCUGCGGUUGGAAGACAUCGAGGAGUUAAUUCGCCGUGAGAAGCAGAGCGGAAAGGAGGAGCAUCACUUGUACGUGAUAAACUGCAUACGUGCAUGCGGACGGGAUACCUACGCCAAGUUCUGCGAUGCCAUCGCAACCCAUGUUCACCCACCGCUGGCUUACGAGAUGCGUACGCUUCUCCGGUAAUUCAGUGACGUCGUCCGGCGAAAUUCAACUGUCAAGUUAUCACCACCAGUUCUGUACAAGAGACAAGUCGGGGAUAACAGUUAUCAGUCGCGCUGAGGUGCAGGCGCCCGCGCACGCGUGUGUCUGUGUGUGUGUGUGUGUGCGCGUGCGUGCACACACGCGUGUUUUGCGAGUGCACACACGUGUGCGUAUGUUGUGUAUUUGUAUUUGUAUGUCAUAAUGUGCAGCUUCAGUUCAGGUUUUGUCCCGCUAGUGUGUACAUAAUGCUAUACAUUGCCUUUGCUUUGUCACGAUGACACACCCUGGCCAUGCUCUGUUAUUCCCUGCAUGCUGUUCACUCUAAUCAUUCCUGACUGACUGACUUUGCCCCAGUCAGUAUAGUACAAUGUGCUACAAGCUGGUAAUCUUGUUUUCAAUGCCCGUUGCUCUUUCACGUGCCACUCAGCAGUAUCUGUGUGUGUGUGUGUGUGUGUGUGUGUGUGUGUGUGUGUGUGUGUGUGUGUGUGUGUGUGUGUGUGUGUGUGCGUGAGUGUGUAGGAGGGCACAUACACUUGCUUGUGGGCUUGAAGUACUUGCUUCCAAUACCCAGAUAGCUACUACAGUCGUCCCUCUCUAAUCCGGCACUUUAUAAUCCAGCACCCUCGAUAAACCAGCACAAUUUUCAGUAGCCAAAAUGUCCUCUUCAUGCACAUUGCAGCAGUAAAUCAGAUUUGUUAAUCCAGCACCCUCCCUAAUCCAGCAGAUUUUCAUGGCACAAAUGGUGCCGGAUUAUAGAGGGACCACUGUACAUGUAUAAGCUAUUUCAAGCACUAGUCUAUUAGGUCUCAAUACAGUGUGUACUGUGUUUGUACGUCUGAUCUUGAUAUCCUCAAUGCUAUGGGUUGAUCGCCACUUUCCAAAACUAGUUUACCGCCUAAAUCAUGUAUUUUCCCUCCUUGCGGUGCCCGUACGCGCUUUGCACCUGCAUCGUACGAACGCUUCCCCAUAUUUUUUUGUAUAUGCUGCUAGCCGUGUCCGCUGUCACGUGAUUGCUGCACAUUGCUCUGUGUCUGCCUUUCAGAGCUAUUACUGCAAUGAUCCACUGGACCCCCGGUCUGUGGUGAACACCUGAUUUGCUCUCUCUCUCUCUCUCUCUCUCUCUCUCUCUCUCUCUCUCUCUCUCUCCCCCCCCCCCCCUCUCUCUCUCUCUCUCUCUCUCUCUCUCUCUCUCUCUCUCUCUCUCUCUCUGUCUGUUGUGUGUUAUUCCCAGACCGUACUUACUAGAGGACAGUGAAGCAUAGCAUGACGAUGUCGAGACAAGUUGGUCGACGGAGCGCCUGGCCCCACCAUGGCUGCUGCAUGUUCCCAUUGCGUGCACCAUAUGGCUUUUAGUAAAAAAAGAAGAAAUGGAAAGUGUAGAAUGAACAAUGACAAAGGUUGAGACAUGGAAGUGUGUGCGGUGUUCCAUUCAUUAGCCUGCCUGUCCCUAUGUGCCCU